UAACAGUAAGUGAAGACUACUAUUAGGUGCAUAUGGAAUGAUCCUUUGCAUUUUUCUCGUUUGGUGACAGGUACUUGGAUUUUUAUGAAUCAAUAUAAUGGUUGAAGAUGAUCCAUCUAAUCGAGUUUUUAAUUUACAAGACUUUGUUAGUAUUACAAUUUAAUAUUUUGAGUGUAUUUGUAGGUUGUUUUGGAUGUAAAAGAUUUAUCAUUAGUAUUGCAUUUGUAAAUUUGACUCAAAUGAGUAUUGGAUGAAUAAAAAUAUCUAUGAGUCCUUUAAA